rnacentral:rRNA from 1 species
UACGAAGGGGGCUAGCGUUGCUCGGAUUGACUGGGCGUAAAGGGCGCGUAGGCGGUUUGCACAGUCAGACGUGAAAUUCCUGGGCUUAACCUGGGGGCUGCGUUUGAUACGUGCAGGCUUGAGUUCGGAAGAGGGUCGUGGAAUUCCCAGUGUAGAGGUGAAAUUCGUAGAUAUUCGCAAGAACACCAGUGGCGAAGGCGGCUCACUGGCCCGGUACUGACGCUGAGGUGCGAAAGCGUGGGAGCAACAG